AUGGGUGGGAGAUGGGGGCUCCCAGUCCCAAAGCAGGCGGGCCGGGAUGCCUCGUUAGUGUCCCCUACCCGCCCCCCUCGGGUCAGGCAGGCUCAGCAGCAAAGGGAUAGGGACAGGGACUGGGCCAGAAGAGUGAGUCCUAGAAGGCUGCGGGCAGGGCGUGCGACUCCCUUCCACCCCCCAGGAGCCACGGGCCCCCCAUCCCCGCCCCCUCGGGAGCUGCAGUGGGGCGCGGAGGGCGGUUGGGGCGUCUGCGCGGUGCUGGGGACCCAAGCCCGGGGAGGCGACCCCAGCCCCAGCCUGCAGGGGGGGCUCUGCUACCCCAGGCUCUGCUCCCGCCGCCCCGCGGCCAGGAGGCGUGCCGGGGGCGCGGGUCUCCCACCCCCCUCCCCCCUCCCGCGUCCCGGGGGGCAGCCCCUGUUCUCCUCUCUAGCCUCAACUUCCCCACGGCGCCCGUGCGUGUGUGUGUGUGUGUGUGUGUGUGUGUGUGUGUGGUGGGGGAGGGGGAGCUCGGCAGCGGGAUUCCCCGCGGGGAAGCAGCCCAGUCCCCUCCCUCCCCCCUCCCCCCUCCCCCCCUCCCCCCGGGCUGUUCGGGACCCUGGACCGAAACAGGAGGCAGGACGCCCCCGGCCGGGAAGCGGCCCCAGCCCGGAUUUCCCUCCCGGGUGGGGCCGCAAUGACUCACCCCCCUCCCCCUUCCCCGGUUUCCUUGUUUGCAUUUCUCCUCCCGGCCACGUGGCGGCCUGUGGCGCGGCUCAGCGCGGGGACCCCGGACCCCGACCCCGGCACCCCAGGCACCCCGGGACCUCGGCACCCCGGCAUCCCGGCACGCGCCCCGCGCCGCUCCUGGCCCCGGGCUGCUCCGGCCCCCGCCCGCCCCGAGCCGCGACUCCUCCCCCCCCCCCCCCCCCCCCCCCCCCCCCCCGUCGGGCCGGGCGCCGCCUCCCCGCGCUCGCAGCGCGUCGCGGGAGGGAAGGGGCGGGCAGCGCAGGGGGUGUGACAGCUCCCGCCCGGCCCGGUGCCAGCUGCGGCCUCGCUUCGGCGCCCCGUGCCAGCUGGCUCAUUCGUCUGGGACAGAGGCGGAGGCUCGGGGCUCCUCGCCGCUGGCUGGGGGGGCUCCCCCCACGCCCCCUGCGCUCCCCCCCAAGGGAGCCUCUCCCCCCCCACCCCGGCUGGCCCGUGGCCCCGCAGGCAGCAGGUCCAGCUAGGAAUUAG
rnacentral:lncRNA from 1 species